AGUGAAUAGAUACCCGGGUAGUCCAUGCUGUAAACGAUGUCAACUAGCCGUUGGGGCCCUUGAGGCUUUAGUGGCGCAGCUAACGCGAUAAGUUGACCGCCUGGGGAGUACGGCCGCAAGGUUAAAACUCAAAUGAAUUGACGGGGGCCCGCACAAGCGGUGGAGUAUGUGGUUUAAAUUCGAUGCAACGCGAAGAACCUUACCUGGCCUUGACAUAUCCGGAACCCUGCAGAGAUGCGGGGGUUGCCUUCGGGAAUCGGAAUACAGGUGCUGCAUGGCUGUCGUCAGCUCGUGUCGUGAGAUGUUGGGUUAAGUCCCGCAACGAGCGCAACCCUUAUCCUUAGUUGCCAGCGCGUAAAGGCGGGAACUCUAGGGAGACUGCCGGUGACAAACCCGGAGGAAGGCGGGGUACGACGUCAAGUCAUCAUGGCCCUUACGGCCAGGGCUACACACGUACUACAAUGGUCGGUACAAACGGGUUGCUAAGCCGCGAGGCCACGCCAAUCUCAAAAACGCCGAUCGUAGUCCAGAUUGGAGUCUGCAACUCGACUCC
rnacentral:rRNA from 1 species